UUCGUCCUCGACCUCGGCUUCGUCUCCUCCUCCUCUUUCUCCUCCUCCUCCUCCUCCUCCUCUCCACGCAUGCAACAGAGGCUCCGCACCAUCGACGCCGCGAUUUCGAUGCAAAGGUGAGAAUCCCCCCAUCAAAAACCCCCCCAAAUCUAAGCUCUCAGUUCGUUAAACCCUCGAAAGAUCGCUCAUAAUCCCUUGAUUUGUGUGAGCAGGGUGAAGUAUAGCGGGUUCCGGCAUAUACGAGCUUGCGAUUUCCUCUUCAUCUUCCUCAGAGGACCAUUUUUGACUUGACGAAGCUGAAUCGAGAUCCUAAGAGCUCUUUUUCCCUGAUUUUCCGGCUUUUUUUGGUUUUUUUUUUACCGAUUUUUGUUCGAUUUUGUGUGUGUGAGAGAGAGAGAGAGAGAGAGAGGAGAUAGGAAUUUAGGUGAGAUGAUUAUGAAGAGGAAGAGCAAGAGGAGCACGAACCCGAUCGAGUCGGAGCCGAUCGUGCGGCGGCGGCGGCGCCGGAUCCGCGUCCUCUUCGACGAUCCCUACGCCACCGAGUCGAGCGAGGACGAGGAGGCGGCUUCGACGAAGAGGAGGAAGCGGGUGAUCCACGAGUUCUUCGUGGGAUCCAUCGCCUUCGCCGAAACCCUAGGGGCCCGUCCGUGGAAGACGAAGGCGGGGGCCAAAACCCUAACUCCGAGCUCCUCCUCCUCCCUGUCCUCGUCGUCGUCGUCCUCGUCCUCGUCCACCUCCGACGCCGCGCCGAGGUACAAGGGGGUGCGGCGGCGCAAGUGGGGGAAGUGGGCGGCGGAGAUCCGGAACCCUAGCACGCGCUCCCGCCUCUGGCUCGGCACCUUCGACACCGCCGAGGCCGCCGCCGCCGCCUACGCCGCCGCCUCCCUCCGCCUAGCCGCCGAGCGCAGCCCCUCCGCCGCCGCCGUCGCCGCCGCCCCCCCUUCCCCCUCCUCCGUCCUCGACCCCGCGCCGCCGCCCCCUAAAACCCUAACCCUAGCCGACGAGAUCCCCCUCCCCCUCCCCAUCCCCGACCCCGACCUCGGGUUCUGCUUCGGGUUCGGGUCCGGAUCCGGAUCCGGAUCCGACCCGUUGAGCGAGCUCUACGAGGAGGACCCGGUAGUAGUCGUCGACGACCUCGGCUCCUUCGCCGACUUUCCCCUGUGGGACCCCAACUUGGACGGCUCAGAUUUCCCCAGCCUCGACGCGUGGAUGGUAGAUGAUGACACCCUCCUCCCAAUUUAAAUCUGAAUUUUUGCAGCUAUUUAGUAUUUAUUCGGCAUUAUAAUACCACAAAAUCACUAAUAUUAAAUUUGCUACCUAAAAAGUGUUUGAUAAAAUGCGUUGAAAAUGCGUGUGUGAGGGAGGAAACUUCUCCUGGGUUUUUCCGAGCUUGUAAGAGCCCGCGCCCAUGGAGUUUCUUUUUCCUCCACUCAUUCACACACUUACAUACUCUCAU
rnacentral:lncRNA from 1 species